rnacentral:rRNA from 1 species
GAUGAACGCUGGCGGCGUGCCUAAUACAUGCAAGUCGAGCGAACGGACGAGAAGCUUGCUUCUCUGAUGUUAGCGGCGGACGGGUGAGUAACACGUGGAUAACCUACCUAUAAGACUGGGAUAACUUCGGGAAACCGGAGCUAAUACCGGAUAAUAUUUUGAACCGCAUGGUUCAAAAGUGAAAGACGGUCUUGCUGUCACUUAUAGAUGGAUCCGCGCUGCAUUAGCUAGUUGGUAAGGUAACGGCUUACCAAGGCAACGAUGCAUAGCCGACCUGAGAGGGUGAUCGGCCACACUGGAACUGAGACACGGUCCAGACUCCUACGGGAGGCAGCAGUAGGGAAUCUUCCGCAAUGGGCGAAAGCCUAACGGAGCAACGCCGCGUGAGUGAUGAAGGUCUUCGGAUCGUAAAACUCUGUUAUUAGGGAAGAGCAUAUGUGUAAGUAACUGUGCACAUCUUGACGGUACCUAAUCAGAAAGCCACGGCUAACUACGUG